GGUCCGUUAGCUCAGGUGGUAGAGCACGUGACUUUUAAUCACGGUGUCGGAAGUUCGAGUCUUCUACGGAUCACCA
rnacentral:tRNA from 1 species